UUUUGAAGGCAGAAAGAGGUUGCUAAAACUUAUCUAGCUGUGCACUCUUUCCUCACAGCUGUUGGUUUUGGUCAGCUGCACAGAAUGAUUGUUUGCUUUGGCUAAUUCUUAAUUAAUUUUCUCUGGAACACUUUUCAUUUUAGAACCUGUUUUGGACCUACAUCCCAGUCUGUGGAAUGUCGAUUAAAAACAUACAAGAAAACUCAGGCACAGAAGAGGGUGUUGUCCAAGGCGUAUGGCAAGGCCGAUGGGAGUGGAAAGAAACAGCUGGUGUGAGCUAUUUCUAUUGGGAAGCAACGACAUACAGCAUGCCAUAGGAGAUUAUUUUAAACCCAAGGUAUAUUAUUGUCACGGGUCUUUUAUAGAACCCUCAUACCCAGUAAGCUUCUUUGUCAAUGUAUAUACACAUACACAAAGAGGUUUAACUGGAUCUCAUUGGUGAGAAUGUUUUUUUGAAAACAAAAACGACAAAAAACACAUUGUGCCAUAUUAGGCCUUCAUGGUGACAAGAUGAACUGCUCCUGUUAAGAGUAAAGCGAGGUCUUUAUUUUUCAUGUGUGAUGUAGAGCUUCUGAGUGACCCUAACAUUUUUCCACUAAUGGUUGGUAACCGCCUCACAAAAGCCUCUGAAGGACUGAAUUCUUGAAGACAUUUACUUUUCCAUUACUAACAUUUCCAAUACAUCCUCCAAAUUCAACCUUGUAGUCUCCCCUUAACCAGAGAAAGAGCCAACUUAGAUUUUCUGGAGGAAGGCUUCAGGUAGUGGUUUUUUGUAUGCCAUUUAACAUCUGACGCAUCUCAAUGUAGAAAUGCAAUUCUAAGGAAGGUUCUCUGUUUUCAUAGAAUUUUAGACCAAAAGCAAAUUUCUGAAAGCUUCAAGGUCAGUUUCAUUAUUCAUAGGUAUAUUCUCAAUAUUUAGCAAAUUGCCUGGCACGUAAUACGUGAUCACUUAAUGUUAGUUGAUGGAUACUGUUGGCUUUUAUCCAGACCCUAGUAGCCUUUGUUUCCAAUAUUUGUUCUCAUUAUUCAAGAUUCUGGCUGUAAACGUGAAACGGUAUUGUGUGAGUACUGAGUUCAAUAGACAUCAAACAUCUGUUUUGUUUUGUUUUCUUUUCUUUGCUAAAUCCCUGCUAGUUGGCUUUUGUUGAGUUGUUUUGGUGGUCAUUCUGUUUUGUUUGUUUGCUCUGUUUCGUGUUAUCUAAUUUCUUUCUCCAAAAGAGUGGCAUAA